GUUUUGAGUGCCAGUUAAGCCUCCUUUGAUGCAAGAAAAAUCAUCAGCACUUUAUUAAUGAUGGAUUCUGAUAAUAAACCUGACAAUGAUGAGGAUGAAAAUAUAAACAAGGAACCAAAAGACUUGAGAAGUAUUUCAUCUAAUAAUGACAGUUGUGGGCCUGUGUUUGAUGGGAUAGCACAUUCCUCUGAGAAUUUCACAAGAAAACGAGGUUUUUCAGAGUCAUCCAGCUUGGGCAGGAUUGCUGUGGAGGAAGACAGAAAUAAACAUGCUUCCAAACGAAUGAGAGUAGAGGAGGCAGAGCCCCUUAAAUCUGGGGAGGAGAGCACCUGUGGAUUCAACACUACAAUAAGCUCGGCUUCUGAAGCAGGUGUUUUGUUAGAUGAAGCAGGAAAGGAGACCUUCCUGAAGGACUGCUCAGACAGAGACACAGAUCUUCCAAAUGCCUUUUCAUCCUCUUGUGAUUUUAAAACUGUUGAUGCUGUUUCUCUGAACACAGACACUGAAAGCAAGUUUGCUCAGGAAAUGGUCAAAGAAAGAGAAUCUCCUUUCCCCCUGAAAGAAAUGAGUGUUAGUUGCACCAUUGGAAAUGUAGAUACAGUUUUCAAGUGUAGCAUAUGUGGUCAUUUGUUUUCUUCUCACUCUGAUUUGGAAAAACAUGCUGAAUGUCUUGGGCAGCAGGCUAAAAAACAUGCCUGCUGUCACUGUAGCCACAAAGCAGAGAGCAGCACAGCUCUCCAUAUCCAUAGCAAACACACACAUGGGGCACAGAAAGUCUUUUCUUGUGAUCUUUGUGGCUUCCAGUGUGGGGAAGAAAACCUGUUGAAUGCACAUUAUCUUGGUAAAACACAUCUCCGGCGACAGAAUCUUGCUGCUCGUGGAGGGUUUGUACAGAUCUUAACAAAACAACCUUUUCCUAAAAAAACAUGUACCAUGGGAACAAAGAAUAUUCAAGCAAAACCAAGAACAAAGAAUGGGAAUCCAAAAGGAUUACACAACCCUGGGAGCAAAUUUAAAGAUUGUGGAGGAAGCAUUUCUCAGCAUAGCAGUAGCAGCAGUGAGCUCCUUGUUGAAGUGGUGCCAUCUAAUAAUACUUUAUCAGAAAAAGCAGAGAUUGUUGAAGAAAAUGAUACCUCUCUUGGUACAGCUAGAAAUCUUGAAGACCAGAGUAAAAAGCUAGGAGAUGUAAUCUCAGAGGAUCUUUUAGAUAAAUCAGAAUCUACCAAAAAUAUCCUACAGACUGUACAUAGUAUCAGUAUCACCUCCAGGCCAAGGCCUGAGAGAAACAUUCUAGUGUUGGGUAAUAGCUUUCGGCGACGAAGUGGCACUUUUAUCUUGAAGGGCCAGGCAAAGAAAAGGUUUAAUCUUUCUGGAAUUAAUAAAAGAGGCACAAAUGAAACUCAGAGGAUGUAUAUGAAACAUUUUAGAACGCCCAUGAAAACAAGUGAUGCAGAACCAAUGUCGAAACACCAAGAAUUGAACAGUGAUGUCCAGAGUCUGUGCGUGACUGCCUCAGACACCCAGAAAAUGAUACAGAACAAGAUAAACUCCCAUCUUCCAAGUUCUGUGCAGCUGAACUCCCCGACAGUGAAGCCAGCUCUUGACCACCAGAUGGUGUAUACGUGUACAGAGUGUGGUCAGAUAGCUACAAAUAGGACAGAUUUGGAAAUCCAUGUGAAAAGGUUCCAUUCAAAAGAGAUGAAAUUUUACUGCCAGACUUGUGACUUUUCUGGUACUUCAAGGAGGGAUUUAGAGGAACAUUUGCACAAUAACCAGCAUCAACAAACUGAUUCUGUCCUAAGUUGUCAAUGUUGUUCCUUUAUUUCUCUGAAUGAGAUAAAUCUUAGAGACCACAUGAAGGUAAAGCAUGGGAUGGGUUUUUUUUGCCACUCUUGUAAUCUGUUUUUGUCUGAGAAAGACAUGGAAGAGCACAGUGCAACUGAGAAACAUAUUAGUUUAUUGGUUCAACCAAAGACUUCUCCAUCGUUGAACAAUGACUUGGUUUUACAGACCUUACCUUUAAGUACUUUGGAAUUAGAAAACACAAAAAAGUCUAUGAAUGAAUCAGGGAAAGCAGCUCAAGAAGAACCUGUUAAGUCCAGGGUAAGCCAUGGAAAUGAGGUAAGGCACUCAAGUAAGCCUCAGUUUCAAUGUAAGAAGUGUUUUUAUAAAACUAGAUCUUCCACUGUUCUCACAAGACACAUAAAGCUUCGGCAUGGUCAGGACUAUCAUUUUCUUUGUAAAGCAUGCAAUCUUUAUUCAUUGAGCAAAGAAGGAAUGGAGAAACACAUUAAAAGAAGCAAGCAUCUUGAGAAUGCCAAGAAAAAUAAUAUUGGCUUAAGCUUUGAAGAAUGUAUUGAAAGGGUAUGUAUUGGUGCAAAUGAUAAAAAAGAAGAGUUUAACAUUUCUGGUAAUGGAAGGAGUGAAGGCCACAUAGGUGUGCAAUUAGAAGAACAUACCUAUCUUGAGAAGAGCAUACCAGCUCCUAAGGAACUGUCACAGUCUGGAGUCAUUACUAAAGAUGCUGAAUUAGCAUUGACCACUACUCCAAAGAGAGGGAGACCCAAAGGCAAUGUCUCAAGGACCUGUUCACAUUGUGGUCUUUUGGCCUCCAGUAUUACAAAUUUGACUGUUCAUAUUAGACGUAAACACAGUCACCAGUAUAGCUAUUUAUGCAAAGUAUGUAAAUAUUAUACUGUAACUAAGGGAGAUAUGGAGCGUCAUUGUGCCACCAAGAAACAUAAAGGACGAGUGGAAAUAGAAGCAAAUGGGAAACAAAGUUCAGAUAUCAUUGUUGGUCCUGAAGGGGGAAAUCUUGAAGCCUGUAAAAAGAAUACCCAAUCAGCAUUGAAUAUUUCAGAUGAACGUGCUAACAAGUCAGUGGAGUCAGAGACCUCUGUUUCAGAAAAGCCAGUAAAUGAUCAUGGAAAUCCAAUUGAAGUUGAAAAUGUAUUUCAUUCUGUAGAUGGAGAAGUUACUAGGCAUCUUACUAAUAAAAAGGAACAAAUAUCUCUAGAGGCAGAGGACCUCCAACAGGGUGAUGCAUGUUCCCAGAGAGAUAUUACAGGUACAAGUGAUAAUAAAUGUCUGCACUGUGAGUUUAAUACUCACUCUUCUGCUUCUCUAGAGCUGCAUGUGAAACGGAAGCAUACAAAAGAAUUUGAGUUUUAUUGCAUGGCCUGUGAUUACUAUGCAGUGACUCGUCGAGAGAUGACAAGGCAUGCAGCAACAGAGAAGCACAAAAUGAAAAGGCAGUCUUAUCUGAACUCUUCUAAUGUAGAAGCAGGUUCUACAGAAGUGUCCAAAGACAUUGUCAUAACUGAAGAGGAGCAGUCACAGAACACUGAAGAAUUUCAGAUAAUUUCAGACCAAACAUCUGAUAAUCUGAAAUCUAGAAAUGCUGCCAGUUGUUCUCUUUUAGAUGAGAAUACUAAUUUAGAUAUGUCUAAAGUACUCUGUCCUCCUGACUCUGUAGAAAUUGAAACUGAAGAAGAAUCUAAUCUCAAUGAUGACCGUUCCUUUUGUGAGACUUUCCAACAGUCCCUUGCCAAGGAGAAAGGUAUUAAACCUGAGAGGGUAUCCCUUAAUAUUUCCUCUAGUUCUGGCUCCUCAAGUGGAUUUCAAAAUAAAAAUUCAGGAAGCUUAGAUUUGAAUUGUGAGACUGGAAAGAAAAACCAUGAUAUGUUGAAUGACAUAACUGCUUCAAGUACACAUUGUGAAAGCAAUGAAGGAAGUGCAAAAAGUAGCAGAGGUGAAGUUCUCGACAAACACUUGUGUCCUAGAGUCCUCACUGGGGGGCAGUCAGCCGAAGGUACUACCUCUAUGGUGAUGAGAACACCAAAAGAGCAGGUAAAUCUAGGUGGCAGUAAUCAGAACAAAGUUGGAUGUGCACACAGUUCAGAAGAUUUGAAAGAUAUGCAAGCAGAUCCUGUCCUGGAGAAUAAGGAAAUUCUGAUGAAUUCACAACAUGAAACUGAAAUUAUUUUAGAAGAAGAUGGCCCAGCUUCUGAUAGCGGAGUUGAACGUAAUGAUGUUUACGAAACUAUAAUCAGUAUUGAUGAUAAAGGGCAAGCCACGUACAGUUUUGGCCAGUUUGAUUCUUCUAUAAUUAGAAUAAAGAAUGCUGAAGAUGGUGAAUUGAUAGACCAACCAGAAGAGGGUCUGCUGUCAAUGGGAGUGAGAAUUAGUGAGUUGCCCUUUAAAGACUGUGCUCAAGGCUUGAAAAAGAAGAAAGUUGAAGGUAGUUCCUUUAGUGAGUCCACACGAAUCCGUUGUGAUGAUUGUGGCUUCUUAGCAGAUGGACUGAGUGGAUUGAAUGUCCACAUAGCCAUGAAACAUCCUACAAAAGAGAAACACUUUCAUUGUUUACUCUGUGGGAAAUCAUUCUAUACAGAAAGCAACCUUCACCAGCAUUUGGCUAGUGCUGGUCAUAUGAGAAAUGAACAGGCCAGUGUGGAAGAGCUUCCAGAAGGAGGGGCUACCUUUAAAUGUGUCAAGUGUACAGAGCCCUUUGAUUCUGAACAAAAUUUAUUUCUACACAUUAAAGGACAGCAUGAGGAAUUGUUGCGAGAGGUGAAUAAGUAUAUAGUGGAAGACACUGAGCAAAUCAACCGCGAGAGAGAGGAAAACCAAGGAAAUGUUUGCAAGUACUGUGGGAAGAUGUGUCGAAGUAGCAAUUCAAUGGCCUUUCUGGCUCACAUUCGCACGCAUACAGGAUCAAAACCAUUCAAGUGCAAGAUAUGCCAUUUUGCAACAGCUCAGCUUGGAGAUGCCAGAAACCAUGUGAAAAGGCACCUUGGAAUGAGGGAAUACAAAUGUCAUGUCUGUGGGGUUGCUUUUGUAAUGAAGAAGCACUUAAAUACUCAUCUACUAGGCAAACAUGGAGUUGGCACACCAAAAGAAAGGAAAUUUACAUGCCAUUUGUGUGAUAGAAGUUUCACAGAGAAGUGGGCCUUGAACAACCACAUGAAACUGCACACAGGAGAAAAGCCUUUUAAGUGUACCUGGCCCACAUGCCACUACUCAUUCCUUACAGCCUCCGCAAUGAAAGACCACUACAGGACGCACACAGGCGAGAAGUCGUUUCUGUGUGACCUCUGCGGCUUUGCUGGCGGAACACGGCAUGCCCUCACCAAGCACCGCCGGCAGCACACAGGAGAAAAACCUUUCAAAUGUGAUGAGUGUAACUUUGCCUCCACAACCCAGUCCCAUUUGACUCGACAUAAGCGUGUGCACACCGGAGAGAAGCCCUACAGAUGCCCCUGGUGUGACUACAGGUCAAACUGUGCUGAAAAUAUCCGCAAACACAUUUUACAUACUGGCAAGCAUGAAGGAGUCAAGAUGUACAACUGCCCCAAAUGUGACUAUGGGACAAAUGUCCCUGUGGAAUUCCGCAACCACUUGAAAGAACAACAUCCUGAUAUCGAAAACCCUGACCUCGCUUACUUACAUGCUGGAGAGCGAGUACAGCUGCUGGAAGUGCUGCCUGCAGAAAAGAGCCAUGCAACACAAACUGCCUGGUCUGGGUUGUCAACAGAGUCCCCUGUUCCAGAUGUCAUUGCUCCAACUGCUUCCCAGAACAGGACUGACAUCGUUCCCUUUCACUGCCCCAGUUAGACAUUAGGGACAGUUUUCUCCCCCCCCCCCAUAUAAAGAAAGCAUCUUUAAUUUUUAAAAGAAUCAAAUGCCAAUGAAAAGAGGAUGUUUGUUGCAGGCCAUAGCCAAGUAUUCUUUUUGUGUUCUGCACAGUUUGGUCUGCACAUAUGAUCUGUGUACUAGUGAUGCUAAAGGCUAUGUGCUGAUGUGUUUUGAGGCCUCAUUAACAAUACAAAAACAUUUUAAGGAAACUCAUCCUUCUUCCCUAUGUUUGUGGUACUCUUGAAUAGAUAGUCCUUGUUUUCUCUUUAAACUUUUAUACUUAUUUUAGAAGUAUUUUCCUACCUAAGUCAUAGUAGCAUUUCUGUUUUCAUAAGAGUCCUAUGACAUAUGGGGGUGUUGACUGUCUGUUUUUCUCUAUGCAUGGCGAUUGUGCUAUGUCGUCAUAUUUUCAGCCUGAUAAACUUCACUUUUAAGACAAAACUUUUUAAAAAGGUGAAAGUUUUUGAACUGACAAUUUUUAACCUUGAAAUUCUAAAUGAUCUGUGAUAUAUUUCAUUAUGGUGUUUUAAUCAGACUUUUACUGGCCUCUCACCCCUGGUAUUUGGUGGUGGUAUCAGGUGUGCAUCUGAGGAACUCCCUAGUGGGAGCUAGGGCAUAGGGUCCUGAAGUGUCAGGAAGCCUAAGGGUGGUUGGUGGCUGCAUCUUCUGGUAUCUGCAGCAUCAACAGGCUGAGAAUUCUGUAACCUAAAUUCAGUGAUGUCAUUCAGUUCUUUCAAUAAAAGAUUGAAUUUAAGCAACCCUAAGCUCCGUGGUCCCCUACCCCAAAUUAUUUUAUUCCUGCCCAUGUUAGCCCAUGUAUUAUCAGACAUCUAAAAGUCUGUUCAAUGGAAAACAUUUAACAAGUGAAAAAGAUUGCAAGUUGUGUAAUUUCGGGUAUUUUAAAUUUUAGUUGAGAUCGUAUUUGGAGAUUUAUCUAUUAAAAUAAGUGCUAUUUUUCUUUGAGAGCAGUUCUGAAAGAGGCUUCCAAUGUUGUGCUAUUCUCUUGGGGUUGCUACACUGGUGUAUAACUGUAACUGCAUUAUGAGGUGAUAUAAUUUAUAAAAUUCCACAAAACUAGACCUCAAAUACCCAGUUUAGGCCCCUGCUGGGCCAUUUUGUAAAUUUUGGCAUCUCUGGAUAUCUCUGGACUUCAGGAUUCUUCUCAGUGAAUUAGUUUAAAUGAAUGUCUUAUAGUCCUCUUGGCUCCAGCAGUCUGUUUCUGCAGAUGUGGCUCAUAGGUAGGAAAGGUCCUAACUUUAUAAUUCCUUUGUAUUUUUCUUUGGAAACAUUAACUCUGUGGGCCUCAGUUUUCCCCUCUUUAAGCUGGGGAUAGAGACAUCUACCACACAGGGUUCAUAUACUCUAGAUGAAAUAGUACUAAAUCUAAACUAUUUGAUGUGAUAAUAGCCUGAAUGGUUGUUUGGGUU
rnacentral:lncRNA from 1 species